rnacentral:rRNA from 1 species
UACAGAGGGGGCGAGCGUUGUUCGGAAUUACUGGGCGUAAAGGGCGCGUAGGCGGCCAACUAAGUCAGACGUGAAAUCCCUCGGCUCAACCGGGGAACUGCGUCUGAUACUGGAUGGCUUGAAUUCGGGAGAGGGAUGCGGAAUUCCAGGUGUAGCGGUGAAAUGCGUAGAUAUCUGGAGGAACACCGGUGGCGAAGGCGGGUCUCUGGGCCGAUACUGACGCUGAGGAGCGAAAGCGUGGGGAGCGAACAGG